UGGUACCUCAGUCGGUAGAGCACGAGAAUCAGGGUUGUGGGUUCGAGCCCCACAUUGGGCAAAA